GAUGAACGCUGGCGGCGUGCCUAAUACAUGCAAGUCGAGCGAACAGACGAGGAGCUUGCUCCUCUGACGUUAGCGGCGGACGGGUGAGUAACACGUGGAUAACCUACCUAUAAGACUGGGAUAACUUCGGGAAACCGGAGCUAAUACCGGAUAAUAUAUUGAACCGCAUGGUUCAAUAGUGAAAGACGGUUUUGCUGUCUCUUAUAGAUGGAUCCGCGCCGCAUUAGCUAGUUGGUAAGGUCACGGCUUACCAAGGCAACGAUGCGUAGCCGACCUGAGAGGGUGAUCGGCCACACUGGAACUGAGACACGGUCCAGACUCCUACGGGAGGCAGCAGUAGGGAAUCUUCCGCAAUGGGCGAAAGCCUGACGGAGCAACGCCGCGUGAGUGAUGAAGGUCUUCGGAUCGUAAAACUCUGUUAUUAGGGAAGAACAAAUGUGUAAGUAACUAUGCACGUCGUGACGGUACCUAAUCAGAAAGCCACGGCUAACUACGUG
rnacentral:rRNA from 1 species